CCUACAUCCACACCUUCAUCACUCUCCCUUCCUGUUCUCUCUGUGUUGUCAUCUGUUGGAUCAGUCAUUGCGUUCGUUGUCCUUCUAGUGAGAUAUAUUCAUAGGAAAGACAUUGAUACAGAUGCAGUCUACUCAACAGCAAGAAUAGAAGACAUCAAAGACAAGGAAAACAAAUCAAAGAUGACAGGGACAGCUCCGGUUUACAGCUAAAACUGUGGCUGAUCUAACAAUUUAUAACCUUUGAAAUGACGUUAAACCAGAGCCAGAUGUCAUCUACUCUUCACUGAAGUAGUCCACCAGUCCAACCACUGACAUCCAGCUGCUGGUCUGUAAUCCUCCUGCAACACAGAUCAGAAGACAACCUCUCUGUUAUAUAGAUAUUAGUCAUGCUUGUUGGAUCUAUCUCUUGUUUCUGUGGCAGCAAUAUGGUUUCUCUGCAGGGUUAAUAAACUUAUUAUCUCA